ensembl:lncRNA
AAGGCAAUGGCAUCCCACUCCAGUAUUCUUGCCUGGAAAAUCCCACGGACGGAGGAGCCUGGUAGGCUCCAGUCCAUGGGGUCGCUAAGAGUCGGACACGACUGAGUGACUUCACUCUCACUUCUCACUUUCAUGCACUGGAGAAGGAAAUGGCAACCCACUCCAGUGUUCUUGCCUGGAGAAUCCCAGGGACAGAGGAGCCUGGUGGGCUGCUGUCUAUGGGGGCACACAGAGUCGGAAACAACUGAAGUGACUUAGCAGCAGCAGCAGCAGCAGCAGCAGAAUAAAUUGUAUGAGAAAAAACCCUCUUAGCAAUCACCUAUGAAAGGUUGUGGUCGAGCAGACUGAGCAGGUCCACAAACUCAAGCCUGAGCUAAGCAGCCUGAAGGUGCGCAGACUGGGGAGCCCAGCCCCCAGGUGGGCUUCCACACACACUGCCUUCUCUCACGUGCUUCUGUGCCCAACCAGCAUUCUCAUUUGCAGGAUGGCAGUGAGGGUGAGCUUUCUUAUACACCAAUCUGAAUUCUGCUGCUCUCCUGUUUAAACAAGCAUCAAGACUGCACAAUUGAACAUGGUUACAAGACCAUUAAUUUCCUGGACCUGGUUUUCUUCCGCCUCAUCAUCAGCCCCCACCCGUCCUCUCACCAUCAGGUCUGUGCCUGUGCCGUUAACUUCUGGCUGGAAUACUCUUCCCUUCCUGCCUUGAGCGUUUGUUAAUUCUGCAUGCUCAACUAAUUAUUAAACCACUUUUAGAUCACGACUGAGAAACCUUUUAUCAAGAUGCCUUUGUCCACUCUUCAAUGCAGCCUAGGUGCCCCUCAUGUGCUCCGAUGGCUCCUUGUACUUUCUCUACCAUGACAUUCAGUACACAACAUCGUAACUAUCUAUUUACCUGAGUCUAGUCCCCAUCCAACUGUAGACUCAGAGAAGGUAGGAUUGCUGUCUAAAGUAUUUUAUUCAUUACUUAUCUCCACAUUAUGGUAGAAUAACU